rnacentral:rRNA from 2 species
UUUGGCCUGCCCAAUGAUUUAUAUUUAAUGGCCGCGGUAUUUUGACCGUGCGAAGGUAGCAUAAUCAUUAGUCUAUUUAUUGUGGAAUAGUAUGAAUGGUUUGACGAAGUAUUAACUGUCUCAUUUUAAUAAUUAAAAUUUAAUUUUUUAGUUAAAAAGCUUAAAUUUUGUUAAAGGACGAGAAGACCCUAUAGAUCUUUAUUUUAUUAUUAUUAUUAUUUUUUUAGUUUAAAUUUUUUAUAUUUAUAUUUAUUAUUUUGUUGGGGUGACUUUUGGAUAUAAUUAACUCCUUUUUUUUUUUUCAUUUUUUUUUGUUUACUUGAUCUUUUAUUAUUGCUUAUAAGAAUAAGAUACCUUAGGGAUAACAGCGUAAUUCUUCUUAAGAGUUCAUAUUGACAGUGGAGUUUGCGACCUCGAUGUUGAAUUAAGAUUAUUUUUAGGUGAAGUGGCUUAAUUAUUAAGUCUGUUCGACUUUUAAUAUCUUACAUGAUCUGAGUUCAAAACCGGGGAG